rnacentral:rRNA from 1 species
AUUGAACGCUGGCGGCAUGCCUUACACAUGCCAGUCGAACGGCAGCACGGAUUCUGGCACCUCGUGGCGUGUGGAGCGCGGGUGAGUAGUAUAUCAGCACGCGUAGUAGCGGGGGGGAUAUCCGGGCGAAAGCAGCAUUAAUCCCACAUACGAUCUGCGGGUGAACACGGGGGCCCAAGAGCCCUCGCGCUUUGGGGUGGGGCGAUGGCUGAUUAGCUAGUUGGUGGGGUAAAGGCCUACCAAGGCGACGAUCAGUAGCUGGUCUGAGAGGACGACCAGCCACACUGGGACUGAGACACGGCCCAGACUCCUACGGGAGGCAGCAGUGGGGAAUUUUGGACAAUGGGCGCAAGCCUGAUCCAGCAAUGCCGCGUGUGUGAUGAAGGCCUUCGGGUUGUAAAGCACUUUUGGCCGGAAAGAAAUCCUGCGGGCUAAUACGGUCUGGGGAUGACGGUACCGGAAGAAUAAGCACCGGCUAACUACGUG